UACGGAGGGAGCUAGCGUUGUUCGGAAUCACUGGGCGUAAAGCGCACGUAGGCGGCUUCUUAAGUCAGGGGUGAAAUCCUGGAGCUCAAACUCCAGAACUGCCUUUGAUACUGAGGAGCUUGAGUCCGGGAGAGGUGAGUGGAACUGCGAGUGUAGAGGUGAAAUUCGUAGAUAUUCGCAAGAACACCAGUGGCGAAGGCGGCUCACUGGCCCGGUACUGACGCUGAGGUGCGAAAGCGUGGGGAGCAAACAGGG
rnacentral:rRNA from 1 species